AUUAACAGGAUUAGAUACCCUGGUAGUCCACGCCCUAAACGAUGUCAACUAGCUGUUGGGGCCUUCGGGCCUUGGUAGCGCAGCUAACGCGUGAAGUUGACCGCCUGGGGAGUACGGUCGCAAGAUUAAAACUCAAAGGAAUUGACGGGGACCCGCACAAGCGGUGGAUGAUGUGGAUUAAUUCGAUGCAACGCGAAAAACCUUACCUACCCUUGACAUGUCUGGAAUGCCGAAGAGAUUUGGCAGUGCUCGCAAGAGAACCGGAACACAGGUGCUGCAUGGCUGUCGUCAGCUCGUGUCGUGAGAUGUUGGGUUAAGUCCCGCAACGAGCGCAACCCUUGUCAUUAGUUGCUACGAAAGGGCACUCUAAUGAGACUGCCGGUGACAAACCGGAGGAAGGUGGGGAUGACGUCAAGUCCUCAUGGCCCUUAUGGGUAGGGCUUCACACGUCAUACAAUGGUCGGGACAGAGGGUCGCCAACCCGCGAGGGGGAGCCAAUCCCAGAAACCCGAUCGUAGUCCGGAUCGCAGUCUGCAACUCGACUGCGUGAAGUCGGAAUCGCUAGUAAUCGCGGAUCAGCAUGUCGCGGUGAAUACGUUCCCGGGUCUUGUACACACCGCCCGUCACACCAUGGGAGUGGGUUUUACCAGAAGUAGUUAGCCUAACCGCAAGGGGGGCGAUUACCACGGUAGGAUUCAUGACUGGGGUGAAGUCGUAACAAGGUAGCCAAU
rnacentral:rRNA from 1 species